rnacentral:lncRNA from 1 species
UAGCUGCUCUGUAGGAUACCGAACUUCUAAAAUUAUGAAGUUACGGUGGGAUGUAAUAUGCGGAUUUUAAUAUAAAAAGGAAAAUAAAUAAAAAUAGUAUGAGAUACUAUUUUUAUUAGAUUUAGAGAAGUGAAAUAUAAGUCUGGAAUGACCCGUGUUGAAAUCAGAGCGAAAACAGAAAAUUUAGAUUUUCUGUGAGAAACGGGGCAGAUAAAUUAGCAAAAAGUGCACAGUCUCAGAAAAUUAUGAAAAUUGGCGGGGAUGCCAGAAAUAUUUUAAUGAGGCUAGAUUUAAAGUUUCAUAUUUUUCUGACACACGUAGAGUGAGAAAUAAAAUCCGAAAGCCAUCUGAUAAAGAUUGCAGUUCGGCACAGUUUUCGGUGACCAAACGGGGUCGAAACUGAAAACUUAAGAUAUAUUCUUGUUCAGUAC